CCACCUGAAAGACAUGAAGGUAAGCACACUACUUUAUCCGCCUUCCAGUUAGCAUUUACAUACCAUAAAGUUUGCUAAACAGAACUAAAAUUAGGAAAUAAAAUGGCUUGGAGAGAAUUGAGGAUACCAAAUAUUAAGUAUCAAAAUAUUUUAAAAUUACCAUCAAGAAAUUCAAAGUUAUGGUUUACUUUUUAAUCUGGGUCAGAACUGUGUAUUUUACAAACAUAUGGCUACAAAUCAUUCUUAAGAAACGUGUCCUGUGCCCUCCAUUUUAUCUAUGAUGCUGCACAUUCACAAUUUAAAUAGAACCCCUGUGACCUGUUGGUGUCAUGUAGGCAGUGACACACUCCUUGCAUUUAAAAAAAGGUUCUCAAUCAAGAAAGUGGGUGCCAAUUUGGUACUUCUACAGUUGCACUGCAGUACAGCUAAGAAACUUAAGAACUGCUGUGAUCCAAGGAUCUCUUGAUGCCAACUCGCAGAAGGCACAGAGGUACAUAGGGAUACAAGGAUCCCAUGGGUUCACUGAAGAAUAUCAUGUCAGGUCUGUAAUGAAAGCUUGUGUCAUACUAGUAAUCAAUCAUUGUGAACUGUGUACACAGAACACACAUGAAGAGUUAUGUAUAUAUUCUAAAAAUUACGUUCUCUGAGAGUUAAGACAGGUCACUCAAAAACUGUGCAUCAGGAGACAAACUUCUACAGGCAGGGAGUGGAAGACACGUGUCUCCAUGGUGGAUCACUGUGUAUAGUAUGUCAUACAGUAGAAAUUUAUUAGCAUUCUAAGUCAAAUGUUGAUGAAGAGCUGACAGAGAUUUGAGAAGGAAAUUAACAGGAGGAAAUAAAUAGCAGGGGUAACCGUAUUUCAGGUAAACAUCAGAGAUAUGUUCUUAUGUAUUUGGGAGAGCAGAGAGGCACCCUGAAAUCCUUCUCCAGGGAAGGAAACUGACAGUGGGAUUUGCUUCAUGAAAAAGGGAUCUCAGCCAGGCUUGGCUGAAAAUGCUGGGAAGAACGUUGGUUGAGAUAAAUUUCUCUAGUCAGAAGAAAACACGGUUGCUAAUCUUUCUGUAACUGUUGUUCUUCAAGAUGUGUUGCUCAUGUCCAUUCAUGUUAUGGUGUGCAUGUCAUUUGCAGAGUUGCCAGAGAUUUCUCUCUCAGUGGUAUCCAUAGGGCUGGCUCUAGCACCCUCUGGUGCACCACGAUCCUUCUUGCCAGAGAAUUCUGAAAGAGUGGCAGGAGGGUGGGUCAUGGAAUAGACAUGAGCAACACAUCUUGAAAAACAACAGAUACGGAAAGGUUAGUUACUGUUCUUUUCUUCUUCAAGUGCUUGCUCAUGUCUGUUCCAUGUUAGGUGACUCAUAAGUGGUACCCAAGGAGCUGGGCUCAGAGUACAUGGACAUGCAGAUUGUAGCACUGCUCUUCUGAACUUGGCAUUCUCUCUAGCCUGCUGUGGGGAUGGCGUAGUGGGAAGAGAAGGUAUGCAAUGACGACCAUGUGGCAGCCCUGCAGGUGCCUCAGAUUGGGACCUGGGCCAGAAAUGCCACUGAUGAAGCUUGAGCUCUGGUCGAAUAGGUGGUCAAGAUGGCAGGAGGUGGUACACCUGCCUGCUCGUAGCAUGUAUGAAUACAGGAGGUGAUCCAGGAUGAGAUUCUCCGGGCUGAAACCGGUAGGCCAUUCAUCCUGUCUGCUACUGCCAAGAAGAGCUGUGUGAAUUUACUGAACGGCUUGCUCCUCCCAAUGUACAAGGCCAGGGCACUUCUAAUGCCGCUCCCUGCAUUCCUGUGUGGUUUUGGGAAGAAAACUGGCAGGAAAAUAGUAUGGUUAUUAUGAAGCUGCAAGACCACCUCUGGAAGGAGCUGGGUGGGAGUGCAGUUGAACCUUGUCCUUAAAGAACAUUGCAUAAAGUGUUUCUAAGGUAAGGACCCUAAUUUCUGAGACCCUCCUGGCUGAGGUAAUUGCCACCAGGAAGGCGACUUUCCAGAGAAAUACAACAGAGGGCAUGAUGCUAGCAGCUCAAAGGGAGGGCCAGUGAGUCUGGAUAGGACCAGGUUAAGACCCACAGUAGAAAUGGUUCACAAAUUUGAGGGUAAAGUCUCUCUACCCCUUUAAGGAAGUGAAUGGACAUCUCAUGCAAGACCACCGACCUACCGUCCACCGAAGGGUGGAAGACAGAUUGCCACUAGAUGUACCUUGAUAGAUGUGAGGGCCAGACCCUGUUGCUUAAGAUGGAGCAGGUAUUCCAGCACAGCUGGAGGGAUGACUGAGUCAGUGAGAGACCUUGUUGAGAAGACCACACCAAGAAAUCCUUCCAUUUGGCUGGAAGGACCUUGGGUACUAGAACUGGAGAAAACACAUAGAAUAGGAUCUCUGUCCAUAGAAGCAGGAAGGCAUCGGAGAGCCUGGACCGCGAUCAGUAAUGAGAAAAACUGCUGACAUUUUUUAUUCUGCCUGGUUGCAAACAAGUGUACCUGGGGAGACCCCCACCUCUGGAAGAUGGAUCUCAUCACCUCUGGCUGAAGGGACCACUCAUGAUGAGAGGAGAAAGACCUGCUGAUGUGAUCUGCCAGGGUAUUCCAGACUCCUGGAAAAUGGGAAACCUUGAGGUGAACUGAGUGUUUCAUACAGAAGUCCCACAGACCAAUGGCCUCCUAGCACAGGGUAAAGGAGUGUGCUCCUCCCUCUCUGUUGAUGUAAAACAUGGCUGCCAUGUUGUCCAUAAACACUCGCACAACUCUGCCAGUGAUCUGGGGAACGAACACUUGGCAAGCUAAGCAGACCACUCUGAGCUCCCUGACAUUUAUGUGUAGGGAGAGUUCUUCCAGGGACCACAGGCCCUGAGUCCUGAUGUGCUUGAGGCGAGCUCCCCAACCUAGAUCGGAUGCAUCUGAAAUGAAAGAUACUGAAGGCUUCGGGGGAGAGGUUUGUGACAAAGGAAAGGCCUGCAGCCAUCUACCGGGGAUCCUUCACCAGUCAAGGGAGGCAAGGACUGGGGUGGGAAGUGUAAGCACUGAGUCCAAGUGGUGUCCGUUUGGUGAUUACACUGGGCCAACCAAGCAUGCAGGCGUCUGAGGUGUGGCCUUGCGUGCUGUACCAUGUAAGUGCACUCAGCCAUGUGUCCCGAAAGUUUGAGGAAAAACAGGGGUGUCGUGAUGGGGUGGGCCUUAACCUUGGAUAUCAGAGCCGAUAUGGUCUGGAAUUGAACCUCUGCAAGGAAGGCUCUGGCCUGGGUUGAGUCUAGUACUGCUCUGAUAAACUCUAUUCUCUGGAUGGGAAUGAGAGUCGACUUUUGCUCAUUUAACAAUGGGCCCAGUGCACGGAAGGUGGCUUGGACCAGGCUGAUACUGUUCUUCAGUUGAGCCUCUGAACGACCCUUGAUCAGCCAGUUGUCGAGGUACAGGUAGACUCGGACACCUUGCCUUCUGAGGAAGGCCACUACCACCAUCAUUCCGUAAAAACCUGAGAGGCUGCUGACAGACCAAAGGGGAGGACAGUGAAUUGGUAAUGAGUUUGGUUUACAAUAAAUCUGAGGAACCUUCUGUGGCCUUAGAAGAUGAAAAUGUGGAAAUAGGCAUCUUUCAAGUUGAGGGCAGCAUACCAGUCCUCUGGAUCCAGGGAGGGAAUAAUGGAGGCCAGGGAGACCAUGCGGAACCUCAGUUUCUUGAAAUAACUGUUGCGGCAAUGCAGGUCCAAGAUGGGUUGAAGACCCCUUUUGGCUUUCAGGAUUAGGAAAUAUUAGGAGUAAAACCCCUUCCCUCUCAAGUUCUGAUGCACCUUUUCCACAGCCCCUACUCACAGGAGGGCUUGGACCUCUUGUGCUAGAAGUUGCUUGUGAGAAGGGACCCUAAAGAGGGAUGGGGAUAGGUGGUGGUGGAAGAAAACUUAGGGGUGUAAUCUUCCUCCACCAUAUUCAGCAUCCAGUGGCCUCAGGUGAUGAGGGACCUCACCGGGCUGAACUGGGAGAGUCAGUCUGAAAACAAAAGGGGGGCAGAAUCCGAUGCGGGAAUUGAUAUAAUGCUCUCGGGUGUGCUUUCAGAAGUUCUGUUUUGGGCCUCCUGGGAUCUGUGUGAUCCUGGUAGGAAGUUGAGGUAGACUGGACAGUUGUCUAUACUUGUAACUCCUGCACAGUUUCUUGAACAGGUCCUGUAAAGACAGUGGAGCCAAGAAGCAGGCCGAUUGCUGGGGCUAAGGACUAAGGCCAGGAGCAUCGCCUCAUGACCAUUGUGGAAGCUGUUGUUAUGGCUGUUGUGUGAGCUGCACCUAGAGCUGCUUGGAGUGAGGCCCUGGCUAUGAUUUUCCCUUCCUCUAUCAGGGUGAAAAACUCUUGCCUGGAGUCCUGAGGCAGUGAAUCUUUAAACUUUGCCGUAGAGUCCCAAAUAUAGGAAUCAUUCGUCCGCAGCAUGGCUUGUUGGUUGGAAAUGCGAAGCUGUAAUCCACUCGUUGAAUACAUUUUUCUGCCAAACAGAUAUAUCUAAGUGCUGUAUGUUAAGAACGCUGGUAAUCAUGAGGUGAAAUUUACAAGCUGGGACAUACUAUUCCUGUGAGACUAACAAAUUUAUUAGAGCAUAAGCUUUCAUGGGCUACAGCCCACUUCAUCGGAUGCAUAGAAUGACCCUUGCCGAGACUGUCAAGGCCUUAGUAGAGGGGGCAUCUGGAACUGUUUCGACACAGACUGAGGCAUAUGUAACCCCAAUGAGCCUGAGUGUCCUUCAGUCUGUGCAGCCUCACAUCCAUCUGUUCUGCAAAGAGUCCAAUCCCAUCAAACGGGAAAUCAUGGAUCAAGGACUGUAUCUCCUGGGACAGGCCUGCAGACCGAAGCCAGAAACAACGCUUCAUGGCCAGCGCUGAGGCGACCACUCUGGCUGCCGAAUUGGCCACAUCCCAUGCCAUUUGGAGGGAACACCAAGCUGCUGUAGUACCCUACUCAACAAGGGCCCCAAAUUUUGGGGCCGCAUCCUGGGGCAUGGAGUCCUUGAAUUUAUGGAGGGAGUCCCAUAAGUUGAAGUUAUCUCUUUUGGAAGAGCUUAGUGGUUUGCGACUCUGAACUGGAGACUGGCUGUGAAAUACAUUUUCCUUCCGAAAAGUUCCAGUCUCUUGGCCUCCUUAUUUUUGGGGGUGGAACUAGAUUGCCCUUGCUUGUCUUUUUUGUUGGCCACAGAAACUAUCAACAACCCUGGGGGGCAGUUGAGCGUACAAGUAUUCGAACCCCUUGGCUGGGACGAAAUGCUUCUUUUCAGCCCUCUUGAAGGUGGGUGUAAUUGAGGACGGGAUUUGCCAGAGGGCUUUGGCGAUCUUUAGAAUCCCUUUGUGUACGGGCGGGGGUAGAUGCAGAGAGCACAUUAAACAAAGUGUCUGAUUGCUCCACCAUCUCUUCCACCUCUAGGCCUAACUCAGUGGCCACCCUUUGGAGCAGGGCUUGGUGCUCCUUAAAAUUGUCCAGUGGGCUAAUUCAUAGAUACUAAGGUCAGAAGGGACCAUUAUGAUCAUCUAGUCUGACCUCCUGCACAAUGCAGGCCACAGAAUUUCACCCACCACUCCUGCAAA